GAUGAACGCUGGCGGCGUGCCUAAUACAUGCAAGUCGAGCGAACGGACGAGAAGCUUGCUUCUCUGAUGUUAGCGGCGGACGGGUGAGUAACACGUGGAUAACCUACCUAUAAGUCUGGGAUAACUUCGGGAAACCGGAGCUAAUACCGGAUAAUAUUUUGCACCGCAUGGUUCAAAAGUGAAAGACGGUCUUGCUGUCACUUAUAGAUGGAUCCGCGCUGCAUUAGCUAGUUGGUAAGGUAACGGAUUACCAAGGCAACGUAGCAUAGCAGACCGGAGGGGGUGGGCAGCCAGCCUGGGAGUGUGACACGGUCCAUAGGCCUACGGGAGGCAGCAGUAGGGAUACUGCCGGAAUGGGCGAAAGACUGACGGAGCUACGCGGCGGGAGGGAUGAAGGUCGUCGGGUCGUAAAACUCUGUUAUUAGGGGAGAACAUAUGUGUGAGUAACAGUGCGCAUCUUGACGGUAACUAAUCAGAAAGCCACGGCUAACUACGGGC
rnacentral:rRNA from 1 species